rnacentral:misc_RNA from 1 species
AACUGAUACUACCUGCGGGAACCUGCGGAGGGAUCAUUACCAGAGUUGAAAAACUCCCUAAAACACUUGUGAACCUACCUGUAUUGUUGCUUCGGCGGGCGGCCCCAGGGGGGGCCUCUUGCCCCUCGCGGGGCGCUCGCCGGAGGUAUCAAACUCUAUAUUUAUUAUCUGCUUCUCUGAGAAACACAUAAACAAGUUAAAACUUUCAGCAAUGGAUCUCU